rnacentral:rRNA from 1 species
UGGGGAAUUGUUCGCAAUGGGCGCAAGCCUGACGACGCAACGCCGCGUGGAGGAUGAAGAUCUUCGGGUCGUAAACUCCUUUCGAUUGGGACGAAUGGCUCCCGGACGAACAAUCCGGGGGCGUGACGGUACCGAGAGAAGAAGCCCCGGCUAACUCCGUGCCAGCAGCCGCGGUAACACGGGGGGGGCAAGCGUUGUUCGGAAUUACUGGGCGUAAAGCGUGCGCAGGCGGUCGCGCAAGUCAGGUGUGAAAGCCCCGGGCUUAACUUGGGAAUUGCAUUUGAAACUACGUGACUGGAGUGUGGCAGAGGGAGGUGGAAUUCCACGUGUAGCGGUGAAAUGCGUAGAGAUGUGGAGGAACACCGAUGGCGAAGGCAGCCUCCUGGGCCAACACUGACGCUCAUGCACGAAAGCGUGGGGAGCAA